CAUCCCGAACAAGCAAGACUAGUGCGUUAAAAACAGCGCUAAGCUACUACACUCGCGUGCUUCGCAUUUAUAAUACGUGGCAAAAGCACACGGUUCUGUACCAUUCGAGCGCUUAACAAUAAAAGAGCAAGCAGUGCUGUGGAUUUAUAUCGACGACGCUGAUGCUAGCUUGCUAACGAGCUAAAAAUAUUGCGCUGCUUGAAAAACAUCCCAGUAGGCGGGACCGGAAGCGUCAGCCAAUGAGAGAGCGCGUAACUCCUCUCCGAGAACUCUUGACCAAUCACAUCGCUCUCUACAUAACGGACAUCACCAAGCGACCAAUCGCGGUGAAGUUCGCAGAGCGUUUGUUGAUUGCGCUACGCGAGCAUACGAUGCGUUUGAAACUGUGGAAAUUUUUCACGUGGCUUUUCGCACAGUCGAAUAGAUCCACACGCAUAUCUCGUUUAACUUUAAACGUGAAAAGCAAAUAGAGAAAUCUUUCGCGGCCGACGAAGGGUGUGGUCGAGGAAGUGGCUCCGUGACGUCACAGCCCCCGCGCGCACCGAGCUGCUGUUCCGCGAGCGCGUCUCACAUCGCGAUAAAGCCAUCAGCGAGCAGACGAGCCAUGGCGCGCGGGCUGAAAGAGCGCUUCGAGAAGUUCCUUCACGAGAAGAACCUGGUGACGGACGUGCUGGCGAAGAUCGAGGCGAGGACCGGAGUGCGCAGGUCCUACAUCGCGUGCGCUGUCGCCUUGCUCGUUGCAGUCUAUCUGGUGAUCGGAUACGGCGCUUCUCUGCUCUGUAACCUCAUCGGAUUCGUCUAUCCUGCGUACAUCUC